UGCGCCUACGGGGGGCAGCAGUCGGGAAUAUUGCGCAAUGGAGGCAACUCUGACGCAGUGACGCCGCGUAUAGGAAGAAGGUUUUCGGAUUGUAAACUAUUGUCCUCAGGGAAGAAAAAAGGCUGUACCUGAGAAGAAAGCUCCGGCUAACUACGUGCCAGCAGCCGCGGUAAUACGUAGGGAGCAAGCGUUAUCCGGCAUUAUUGGGUGUAAAGGGUGCGUAGGUGGCAGGGCAAGUCAGAUGUGAAAGCCCGGGGCUCAACCCCGGUACUGCAUUUGAAACUGUCCAGCUGGAGUGCAGGAGG
rnacentral:rRNA from 1 species